UAUACCACCUCUUCUUUAUCCAGUCACCUGCUGAUGGACAUUUAGGCUGUUUCCAUGUUUGAUACUGGUUUCUUGGCUGUCUCUCUGAUUUGAUCGUCUUGUCAAAAGUUUGAAAAGUUUAUUAGACUCUUUAAAGAAUCAAAUUUUGGCUUUGUCAGUAUUUUAACCUUUCAAAUUCACUGUUUUUCUAAUUCCUUGAUAGAUGUUAGCUCAUUAAAAUUGAUCUGUCUUUUGUAUGUAGAAGUUACGAUCUUAAAUGUAUAAACACUGAUUUUACUACAUUCUACAUGAUUUUUCCUCAAACUACUCAGCUCAAAUUAUCUUCUAAUUUACAUCAUGAUUUAUUUUUACCUGCUGGUUAUUUAGAAGUGAAUCUCUACAUUUAUGGAAGUAUUCUAGCUUAAAAAUGAUUAGUUGAAUAUGCUUUGUGAAAAUGUCAUUAAGUAGAUUCAGUUCCUUUUGAGACUUGUCUUAUGGCCUAAUAAUCAAUUUUUGAAAAUGUCUUGUUCAAAUCUUAUUUCUUUUGUGUUUUAUUAGUUAUUCCCAUAGUUUGAAUUUGUCUAUUUCUCUUUAUGGUUCUGUUUCUCCUCUAGUAUUCCGAGGAUAUGUCAUGAAAUGAAUAAAAUCUAAAAUUAUUUUCCUGCUCUGUCUUGCUCAGGAGAUCCCCAGCCAUCGACACUGUCAUGGACCAGGGAUCUGGUACCACCUGAAGCAGAUGAUCCUCCCUUUGACUUUUCACCUCACUUCCUCUCAUCUCACCAUGAAGGCACUGCAUCAUCUCAAGUAGGUUGUCCUCAGUGGAGACUAUAUCCAAGUUUGACAUGGGGAUGUUUAUGCACACACACCUUCCUGCUGCCUGGAGUACACCCUGCUGUAUAUCCACAGUUGCAGUAUUCCUCGUGCAGUUCUCACCAACUCCUACCCAUUUAUGCCUUAUGUUAUAUCCUACUUCAUCUCAUCUGUAGAAUGAAGAAAAUUCCAGAAGCUCAGUAGUCAUGGCGCACUUGAGCUGCAGGGAAAGAAAUGACUGGCGUUCUCCACAUCAUUGCACUGUUGGGAUGCUGUCUUAAAUGCCUCCUGAAAACACAUCUGCACUGCACACCAGAC